CUUCCGCUCUCCCCGCACAGGAGGGCGGAUCGAGGAGCCCGGAGCGCUCUGCCCUGACCGCCCGGGGUCCUCAGGUCGGCCGCUCGGCCGAUGCAACUCCGGGCUGCGGUGCCGGGUGGGUUGAGGGUCCCGCCCUGGCGC
rnacentral:ncRNA from 1 species